UACGUAGGGCGCAAGCGUUGUCCGGAAUUAUUGGGCGUAAAGAGCUCGUAGGCGGUUUGUCGCGUCUGCUGUGAAAACUCAAGGCUCAACCUUGGGCUUGCAGUGGGUACGGGCAGACUAGAGUGCGGUAGGGGUGACUGGAAUUCCUGGUGUAGCGGUGGAAUGCGCAGAUAUCAGGAGGAACACCGAUGGCGAAGGCAGGUCUCUGGGCGAUUAAACUGACGCUGGAGGAGCGAAAAGC
rnacentral:rRNA from 1 species